rnacentral:rRNA from 1 species
CCUACGGGGGGCAGCAGUCGAGAAUCAUUCACAAUGGGGGAAACCCUGAUGGUGCGACGCCGCGUGGGGGAAUGAAGGUCUUCGGAUUGUAAACCCUUGUCAUGUGGGAGCAAAUUAAAAAGAUAGUACCACAAGAGGAAGAGACGGAUAACUCUGUGCCAGCAGCCGCGGUAAUACGGAGGUCUCAAGCGUUGUUCGGAAUCACUGGGCGUAAAGCGUGCGGAGGCGGUUUCGUAAGUCGGGUGUGAAAGGCGCGGGCUCAACCCGCGGACGGCACAUGAUACUGCGAGACUAGAGUAAUGGAGGGGGAACCGGAAUUCUCGGUGUAGCAGUGAAAUGCGUAGAUAUCGGGAGGAACACUCGUGGCGAAGGCGGGUUGCUGGACAUUAACUGACGCUGAGGCACGAAGGCCAGGGGAGCGAAAGGGAUUAGAUACCCUGGUAGUC